GCGUGUGUGAAGAAGGCCUUCGGGUUGUAAAGCACUUUUGUCCGGAAAGAAAUCCUUGGCUCUAAUACAGUCGGGGGAUGACGGUACCGGAAGAAUAAGCACCGGCUAACUACGUGCCAGCAGCCGCGGUAAUACGUAGGGUGCGAGCGUUAAUCGGAAUUACUGGGCGUAAAGCGUGCGCAGGCGGUUUGCUAAGACCGAUGUGAAAUCCCCGGGCUCAACCUGGGAACUGCAUUGGUGACUGGCAGGCUAGAGUAUGGCAGAGGGGGGUAGAAUUCCACGUGUAGCAGUGAAAUGCGUAGAGAUGUGGAGGAAUACCGAUGGCGAAGGCAGCCCCCUGGGCCAAUACUGACGCUCAUGCACGAAAGCGUGGGGAGCAAACAGGAUUAGAUACCCUGGUAGUCCACGCCCUAAACGAUGUCAACUAGUUGUUGGGGAUUCAUUUCCUUAGUAACGUAGCUAACGCGUGAAGUUGACCGCCUGGGGAGUACGGUCGC
rnacentral:rRNA from 1 species